AUUGAACGCUGGCGGCAGGCCUAACACAUGCAAGUCGAGCGGAUGAAGGGAGCUUGCUCCUGGAUUCAGCGGCGGACGGGUGAGUAAUGCCUAGGAAUCUGCCUGGUAGUGGGGGAUAACGUCCGGAAACGGGCGCUAAUACCGCAUACGUCCUGAGGGAGAAAGUGGGGGAUCUUCGGACCUCACGCUAUCAGAUGAGCCUAGGUCGGAUUAGCUAGUUGGUGGGGUAAAGGCCUACCAAGGCGACGAUCCGUAACUGGUCUGAGAGGAUGAUCAGUCACACUGGAACUGAGACACGGUCCAGACUCCUACGGGAGGCAGCAGUGGGGAAUAUUGGACAAUGGGCGAAAGCCUGAUCCAGCCAUGCCGCGUGUGUGAAGAAGGUCUUCGGAUUGUAAAGCACUUUAAGUUGGGAGGAAGGGCAGUAAGUUAAUACCUUGAUGUUUUGACGUUACCAACAGAAUAAGCACCGGCUAACUUCGU
rnacentral:rRNA from 1 species